AUUGAACGCUGGCGGCAUGCUUUACACAUGCAAGUCGAACGAGUGGCGCACGGGUGAGUAAUACAUCGGAACGUGUCCUAUCGUGGGGGAUAACUGAUCGAAAAAUCAGCUAAUACCGCAUACGAUUGGAGCGGCCGAUGCCCGAUUGGCUAGUUGGUGAGGUAAAGGCUAACCAAGGCGACGAUCGGUAGCGGGUCUGAGAGGACGACCAGCCACACUGGGAAUGGGACAAGGCCCAGACUCCUACGGGAGGCAGCAGUGGGGAAUUUUGGAAAAGGGGGGCAACCCUGAUCCAGCCAUGCCGCGUGAGUGAUGACGGCCUUCGUGUUGUAAAGCUCUGUUAAUCGGGACGCGGUACCGGAAUAGAAAGCCACGGCUAACUACGUGCCAGCAGCCGCGGUAAUUC
rnacentral:rRNA from 1 species